GUUUUCGAAUUGAAAAUAUCCAGAAACCACGGCAAAAAUAGCCACCGCGAGAGUCCUGCUCGAGUCAUUCGAAUUUCUGCAGCAUACACGAUUCAUCUUCUACAGUGAGUGGUUGUGCUUGAUCACAAACUUUUAAAGUAAAUUAUAAAUCAAAAUGCCACCACACGCCAGCGAAGGAAAAAGCUUAAUAACCACCUACCUUAUCCUCAUAGCGCUCCUGUUAGUCUUAUGGGGCUUAUAUGCGGGAAUGUUUUAACUGAAUGUUCGUUACCUAGACACAUGGAUCAUCUUCGUUCAUCGUCAUAAUCUGCGUCAUACAACAUAGACAGUCCCCAUUUGUAAUAUACAAAAUACCUACUACUGUUUGUCAUCUCACCAAUCAUUGUAAUUUGUAUUUUUAUAAGUAUUAAGACAUUUUUAGAUAAGACUAAUUAUUGAUAAUGUUAAGUUAAAUAAAAUAAAUUUAUUUCUUUUAA